rnacentral:rRNA from 1 species
UACAGAGGGGGCUAGCGUUGUUCGGAAUUACUGGGCGUAAAGGGCGCGUAGGCGGCCCGCUAAGUCGAACGUGAAAUCCCCGGGCUCAACCCGGGAACUGCGUCCGAUACUGGCAGGCUUGAAUCCGGGAGAGGGAUGUGGAAUUCCAGGUGUAGCGGUGAAAUGCGUAGAUAUCUGGAGGAACACCGGUGGCGAAGGCGGCAUCCUGGACCGGCAUUGACGCUGAGGCGCGAAAGCCAGGGGAGCAAACGGG